GUUUAUUUUAAAUAUUACUGUGAACUGUUUCAGGAUAUGGUCAGUGGCAGACUCUUGUGAACACAGUAAUGAACCCUUCAGGCUUCAUGAAAAACAUUUCUUGAUGAACUGAGAGACCUUCAGCUUCCCAAGAAGAUUCUACUCCAUGAAGAUUACUGGGUGCUAAAGUUUUACAUGCAUAGUCAAGAAGUUGUGUGCAGGAGUCAAGUUCAUCCUGUAGAACUGAAGUGAUGCCCUCACUGAAACCAGCACUGAACUGCGGCUUGGUACUCGCCUUAAGUUUCCCUGAGUUAAGUGACAUAUAAUGUACAAGAGAUGAUCCACUGUGUAAGGAUACAGUUAUAGCCAGUGUCUUGUCUCCUGAGAGCAGUUCCUUUGGUAGUGCGGAAAUCUGUUGUCUGUCAAGAAUGUUGUGGUGAAGAAGGUGAUAUGGACAAAACAUGUAGAUUGCAUGGGUCUGCAGAUAAUAUAUACAAAAUUUUAGUCAGAAGAUCUGAAGAGAACAGGCCACUUGGAAUACCCAGUAUAGAGGUAAGGAUAAUAUUAAUAUAGAUAUUAAAAGAAAAAGGGUGUCUGGAUGGAGACUGGAUUCAAUUGGUCAGGUAGGUUGUCAUGAACAUAGUAAUGAAGGCGAGGAAUUUCUUGACGAAGUGAGCAACUACUAGCUUCUUAAAAGGACUUUCCCCAUGGGGUUAAUUCAUCUAAAUAUUCACCUUC